rnacentral:rRNA from 1 species
GACGAACGCUGGCGGCGUGCUUAACACAUGCAAGUCGAACGGUGAAGCGCCUUCCUUUUUGGUGGGUGUGGAUGAGUGGCGAACGGGUGAGUAACACGUGAGUAACCUGCCCCCUUCUUCUGGAUAACCGCAUGAAAGUGUGGCUAAUACGGGAUAUUCUGGGUCUGUCGCAUGAUGGGUCUGGGAAAGAUAUUGUUUCGGUGGGGGAUGGGCUCGCGGCCUAUCAGCUUGUUGGUGGGGUGAUGGCCUACCAAGGCGGUGACGGGUAGCCGGCCUGAGAGGGUGGCCGGUCACGCGGGGACUGAGACACGGCCCAGACUCCUACGGGAGGCAGCAGUGGGGAAUAUUGCACAAUGGGCGCAAGCCUGAUGCAGCGACGCCGCGUGAGGGAUGGAGGCCUUCGGGUUGUGAACCUCUUUCGCCAGUGAAGCAGGCCUGCCUCGUUUGUGGGUGGGUUGACGGUAGCUGGAGAAGAAGCGCCGGCUAACUACGUG